GCCUCGGAUCAGCUCAGGCGGGAGAGAGAUGAGCUGAGGCGGGAGAGAGAUGAGCUGAGGCGGGAGAGCGAGGAGCUGAGGCGGGAGCUGCGGAAGGCGGCCGCAGAAGGCGAGAAAGCAAGAGAGGUCCUCCAGAAGACACGGCAGGAAUGGGACAAGGCCAAGACAGAUGAGGCGCUGCUGAAGAAGGAGAGAGACAAAGCAGUGCAGGUGUGCGCGACGGCAGUGGAGGAGAGAGCGCGGAUGAAGAAGAAGUACAAGGCCAUGGAAAAAAAGACACACUCUGGAAAAAUGCCAAAAGAGCUCCUCCUCCUCCAGUCUGGAUACAAGUGUGGACAGAAGAAAGACACAGAAAUCCAGGAGUAGGGCGUCUUCGAGUGAGGACAGCGACUCAUUGUUGCUCACAGAAGACACAGAUGGAUCAGUUGACUGCUCGCUCACAGGCUCUCGUUCCUCCAAGGCCCAGCGAGAAGGAGACAAGACGCUGGACACAGAGCAGGCGGCACAUGUGAAGAACCAGAGAAAAGACCUCCAGGAAACAGAGGAUGAAAUACAAAAACAGAUGGAGGCCUUGAGCAAACUGAAACAGGAGAGAGAUCAUCUCAAGGAGGAGCUGCGGGAUAUUAUAGAGGAGAAGGUGAAGGAAAGCAUGGACAUGGUCCUCAUGAGGACAGAGGUGUUGAUGAAGGAGAGAGACAGAGUCAUGGCCCAACGAGUCAGGAAGGAGAAGGAGGAGUUGGAGAAGAACCUGAAAAGGUUGCAGAAGAUAUGCAGGUCGUUCAGUCACAGCAGGAGGUGCUCACGUCUCCAUGGUUCCACCAGUGGAAUGGAACAAAAUGAGGGCUCGCAUCACCUCUUCAGACCCGAGAGGACAUCAGAGGAGGAAGCAGGAGACACGGACUCCUUGACGCUCUCACCUGAACCCAACAGUGCUGAAGAGUCCUGCUGCUGUGUAUCCAGCAGGAUCCCCUCCCACUUCCCCACCCUGGAAAGGGAUGGGGCCACCGUGAUGAAGAUGGACACCCUGGGCACCGCCUCUUCGCCGUGGAUCGGGGACAAUCACAGUGUCCCUGCGAGGUACUGUGGUCCAAGAGGACCCGGGUACAGCCGCCGGAGCUGCUUGCUCCCAGGGACAGCUAAAGACCUGCUCCCCAUCGCCACCGUGAAACCAACUCGCUUUUCACAUGUGUCACCUAGCGCCGGCAACCAGCAGUUCAGGCAGAGCUCGAUGGUCAGCAGCAGCAGGGUGGAGCAACUGGUGAACCAAAGCAGGAGGUGGCUGGAGAAGCACGGGAAAGACGUCAAUGAACCUCUCUUGGCUCGCUGUCCGCUGACUUCCAACAAGAGCAGCUUGUUUUACGAGAUGAUAUCGACGCAUUUAUACUGAAGAUAAACAGGAAGGAAUCCAGGAACACACCCUGGACACACAAACCAUUCACCCACACAAUCCUGGACGAGUGCUGGGUGUCAGCUUUUAGUAUAACAUAGAUUUUAAAACAUACUCUUUACAUCUAAGUACGUUGACAUGUCCUGUACUUGAGUACAACUCAGUAUUACUGACUUAUGUUGGGCUGAAUUGUCCUCCCCUCCUGGGCAGCUGCCAUAUUUUCAUUGGCUCUGAGCAAACGUUCACAGCAUAAUUGUUUCCAGAUGACAGCGUGCGGAGGGGACAUCACUCAUGGGGGGUUGUGAGACCGGCGGGGGUCUGUUAAAGGCAUUCUGCUCUACUGACGAGGGCAUUUCCUGUCUGGAUUAAGGAGGAUCAGCUGUUUGUUCACAGGGUUUUUGUAUGGUUGGCGUGUGGACAGAGGGACAGCUGUGGACAUCGCAGCACUUCUGGAUACUUUCAUUGAAGUUGGCCAUGUUUGAGGAAUGCAGGUGUUUACGGACAGGACUUUUGAGAAAAUAUUGGAGUUUUUGUUCCAGCCAGGCUUUCUGGAGAGGAAUGUUUAUGUAUUUGAGAGCGAACAGCUUCCUGUUAGCAUCUUUGAUUUCUUCACGCUCUUGUCCAGUGACACUAUUUUACAUCAGUAUGUUGAUAUUUUAGGGUAUAAUUGUGUGACUUUAUAGUAUGCUAAUAUCUUUUGAUAUUAGGAGGUUGGGGAUCAUCACAUUUUGACGGGAUGAUUGUUCAUGUCAGUGGUUUUAUCGGCCAAAAUGUCCGACUUUGAAGCAAACAAAGGUCAUUAGCCACAAUAAAAAUAGUCUGACCUCUUGACAUGGUGAGAUCAUGGCUAAAAAGUGACUUAACGCGUGACAGCCGUGGAAUGAUUCAUCGUGACUUCUCAUCACAUAAAAAUGAACAAACACUGACGGGAAUGAUGAAUAAUCAACAUGUUUUUAGGGAACAUCUGUGUUUUACUGACUAAUGCUGCAAUAAAGAGAGGAAAAACUACAACCGGAAACGGACAUUGCAGAAGAUGAUUUACUGCUGUAUUAGCGGCCGCGCAUGCGCCCAUUCACGUGUGCAGGUGUCAGGUAACUGCUGCAGCCAUCGCCACCCACUCCCAUCAACACACCCAACCUGACGGAACCUCUGAAGGGAAUUUCAGCCCCAGUCAGCAAGCAGAUUUUUUGGCUCAGAAAUUAAGUGAAUCUGUUGAGACUUUAAAACUACCAAGUUACAGCUAUUGCAUUAAAAGUUAAUUUAAAAUAAAUCAGUCAUUUAAAGUAGGUAGAUAAUUAAACCUAGUACUUGGCUGCCCGCAAACCUGAUUUUGAGCUCAAAGAGGAGGCGCAUCUGAAUGACCCAUUCAGACGUGAAGGAACAGGCAGACUUACGUAAGGAUUCAGCAAACUGGAGCAACUGGUUUAAUUGUAUCCGUCUUUGUUUAGAAAAAAGUUAAAUCAUUUAAAAAACGUUUUCUUUACCUUUUAUUUUGAAGGUGACUUCACUGAUACAUGCGGAUUUCCUAUUUUUGCAUUAGUGUUACUGGGGAAUCUAGUUUGCAACAAUUUACGCCUUUUCCACGCUGACACGCACGCCCCCGUGCCUGUCGGACUCCACCCAUGAUGCGUCAAAAGCGACCUUCUGCAGGUGUCGCGUCACUUUUCCCACUCGAGAAAAGGCGAACACACACACGCAGCGUGUCCGGGCUCCUCACACACACACUCAGGGAUCUUCGCUGCUGUGUCAACUUCCAGCAGUGUGUGUGUGUGUGUGUGUUUGUGAGGAGGGAGGCGGAAGCUCCGGGAACCUCCACUCAGCCCACACUCGGUUCAGU
rnacentral:lncRNA from 1 species